ACAGAGCUGUGCACCCCAGUGCGCAUGUCCACUUCCGGUUAGCGCGCAUCUAUCGCUACCGCCAAACUCAUUCAAACGCAAGAGGUCAAAGUCGUGCACCUCACAGAAGGCUGACUCCAACGCUUAUUUCGGUGGUGUGAGAGCCUAAAUACUGAAAACAACAAACGCACACAGAAGGAAGGAGACAAGCCUACCUUAGGUGGUGUCCGUGUCAGUGAAGUUGGUGGCAGUUGGAAAAGAGGUACCCUCGGUCACCAAGACUGCAUUGGCCACCAGAGUACCAGAUAACCGUCUUCUUACCCAGCCAGACCCACUCAGCAGCAGCCGCAGCUUUUCGUCCCACUGCACCUCCUCCCUCACUGCUGCUUCACUGAUAAGAAGCUUUCUCAGCAGACUGGACCAAAAUCCUUCUGAGACGACCAAUGACAUCACCAGAGCACGCACUGCAGUCCUGCAAUGUCUGCCCCUGUAUCUUGGAGAUAAUUCCAGCGAAUUCUUCCUCAGCUGCUCAGAUUCGGACUCUGCAUGUGACUUCUCCCAGGUGCCUGUUGGAGUUCUUAGAAUCAUGACUGAGGAUACGCCACCCUUGAUUAACAGCAUUGCAAUCAUCCUUGAAGGAAACGUUGUCAUGGAUGAGAUUCCCACAACCUCUCAAGCACUUUGUCUUCCGUUCAGCUUAUUGUAUGCACCCCAUCUGGAUUACCCCAAAGGUCUGCUUCUCAAAGAGCUUUUUGACAACAUGGCGUCCAACAACAGCAUGGAUUUUUAACAUCAUUUUAUUUCAAAAGUACACAAACAGGACCAAUAUUGUUCAAUAAGGCAAAGCUCAAAUAUUGACAACCACUCACAUCAGAGGACUCGAAAUCUCAUAGUCACAGUUUAUGGGUAUCACUUCAAAUCAUAAAUAAAACUCUUUUUUCUUCAUA